rfam:Schistosoma curassoni strain Dakar, Senegal genome assembly, scaffold: SCTD_scaffold0002139
ACCCAGCUGAUGAGUCCUAAAUAGGAUGAAACACUCGUCAUAGAU